GUCCAGUCGUUGAUCUGCGAUGGAUUUGUUAUUAUAAUGUUUAUACUGGUCACAAUAAACAGUGUGGUAAUCUAUUCAAAAUUGCUAUUUUCAAGAUAAUUCCUAACACAGGCUGAGCUGCCCAACGACGAUAACACACCGGAGAAGAGGGCCACAACAAACUCUGGACAUUCUUAGAGAGAGAAAAAGACAAUGAGCGAGUUACAGAAGGAGAGUUCAUCAUGGGUGUGAUGAGGAUGCGCUUCGCCUCAUUCAGUAUGCUAAUAAGUUCUGCUAGUACAUUUGGUUGCCUCCGGUCUACAUUCCUAGCUUGGUGCCAGACCUGUUUGACCAUAAGACCAUAGGAGUUGACAAUAGGAGUUGGCAAGACAGCACAAACAGAUCUGGGUUCAGGCUCCUACAUUCCACAAUCCCUACCUCUAUCCUCAAUCAUACCGCAGGAAGUAUUUUGUUUUAAUCCCAGUCUAAUGUCAAGAAUUGAUCAGACCUGUGUUCAAAUAGUAAUUUUUCUUCUUCAAAUACUUUAGCUGUGCUUGAUUGUGAAAACAUAAUAUUUGAACCCAGGUCUGAUUCUAAAGUACAUUGUGGACCAGAAAGAGAUUUGAAGGACAUCUAUAAGAAAAUAUGAACAUGUACAUGUCCAAGUCAAUGUAACACUCACUGACUUAUGUUAUGAUGUACAUGAUUUAUUGUGCAAUUGCCACAUACUGAAGUGUAUACUUUAUACUAUACACUGAGUGUACAAACAUUAAGAACAGCUUCCUGAUAUUGAGUUGCACCCUCCUCCCUUUUGCCCUCAGAACAUCCUCAAUUCGUUGGGACUUGACAGGGAUUCUACAAGGUGUCGAAAGCAUUCCAUAGGGAUGCUGGCCCAUGUUGGCUCCAAUGCUUCCCACAGUUGUGUCAAUUUAGCUGGAUGUCCUUUGAUUGGUGGAUGGCACACAUACACAAUCCAUGUCUCAAUUGCCUCAAGGCUUAAAAAUCCUUCUUUAACCUGUCUUCUCCCCUUCAUCUACACUGAUUGAAGUGGAUUUAACAAGUGACAUCAAUAAGGGAUCAUAGCAUUCACCUGGUCAGUCUAUGUCAUGGAAAGAGCAGGUGUUCAUAAUGUUUUGUGCAAUCAGUGUGUACUGUAUACUAGUCUUGCACAAAUUUAGAAGGUUGUCUGUCAGAGGUGUUACAAUGUAACCGAUGGGUUGGACGAUACUCUUCUCGUCAAUUAUCUUGAAUAAACAUAUACUUAAACUGGAAAUCAACCAAUCCUCCAUCUUUAAGAAACUGCAAAAUCAUAUUCUUGAUUUUUUAAAUAUUGAGCAUGGGCGACGGAGAGGAACAAAAUGGUGCAAUUUGAGGACAUGUGUCGGAGAGUAGUGCAGGCACUGGAGAUAGGAGUGAGAACAGAUGUUGUUGAUGUUUGUGUGCGCCUGUAUGUUGUCUUUUGUGUGUGCAUGUUUUGUGUUGUAUUGUUUGAAGAAAAAAAAUGAAAAAUGAUUAAUAGGUAUAUCAUUUUUGGACUUGAUAUUUAACUUCUGAAUGAUUUGAGAAAGGCUAAAGAGUUUUGAGAGCUGUUACGAGGGGUUUAGGAAA
ensembl:lncRNA